CCUUCGAUAGCUCAGUUGGUAUAGCAGAGGACUGUAGAUCCUUAGGUCACUGGUUCGAAUCCGACUUGAAGGA
rnacentral:tRNA from 1 species